AGUCGAGGCAGGAAGUGAGGGGUUGCGUUCCAAAACGGCGGCUCAUUGUUUUCUUGAGAUCUUUGGUGUUACUACUUUUUAUCUUUACCUAGAGGUCAGCCUGUUCUCCCGAUCAGUUGUUAGGGAAAUUGGACACUGAACGAUUUAUAGGGAUGGAAGUAGGGAAACGGUAAAAAUCAUGUAUUCUGCCCUUACAAAGAGGAUGUGAGGACCUUGAGAACACCUUUAAAGGACAUGUUGGUAUAUCCACAGUGGGGAAGGAAUUCAACAGGCAGAGCCGGGACUCAGUGGAUUGGAGGCCAAGUCUUCCUCUCAGACGUCGGGACCAGUUCCCUGAGAGUCUACAGUGCAGGAUCUAAGAGUGACUCAGAGCCGUGCUGCUUUGUUUGUGAACGCUGUUUGGAAAAUUAACGGCGUUCUUUUUAAUGGUGCACUGUUUUACCGGGUCCAUGUUGAUGGACACUUACAGCUGAUCUUUUGUUGCAGUGCGCAUCCUCACGCAUUUUGUCUCUCUGCACCCUUCUUCAGGAGUUUGACCCCGCUCUUCCCUAGGACUAACCUAAUCCCCUAAAAUUCUAUACGAAUGUUGUCUGUAUCUUUUCAAAUUAAU